GAGUUUGUCGGUCGGUCGGGCUUCACUGUUCGCACUGGCCUGACGGAUUCCUACCCUCUGAAUAACCAGCAUGCUAUUAAGUUAGUGCGUUGGGGAAGCAGAGCUAUUACCUUGAAAAAAUUAGAGUGCUUAAAGCAGGCUUAUGCUUGAAUAGAUUAGCAUGGAAUAAUAAAAUAGGACGGCAUGGUUCUAUUUUGUUGGUUUCUAGAGUCGCCGUA
rnacentral:rRNA from 1 species